GGCCGCCCGCACCACAGCCUGCUGAUGGGCGUCUUACCAGACACGGUUAGAUCUGGGUUCUGGUGUCUAAUACUGUCUGGUAAUGCCGUUCAUCCAUGGCCUGACCACCGCCGAGGAGG
rnacentral:precursor_RNA from 12 species